rfam:Schistosoma margrebowiei strain Zambia genome assembly, scaffold: SMRZ_scaffold0000359
GUAUUGCUGAAGAGUCUCAUAUUGGGACGAAACGGCCGUCCAGUGC